rnacentral:rRNA from 1 species
AUGGUCACUCGAGCAAAACGUGGUCUCUUCCAGCCCGUCGACCGUCUCAACCUUCAUGUUUCCCACUCGACUCCUUCUCCUAUUCCUAAAACAUACCGGGGAGCACUACAUGACCCGCACUGGCGUCGUGCUAUGAACGAGGAAUGUGAUGCUCUUGUUGCUAACCGGAUGUGGUCUCUUGUUCCACGUCCUCCUUGUGCUCAUGUUGUUUCAGGAAAGUGGAUCUUCAAACAUAAAUUUCACUCGGACGGCAGCCUUGCACGGUACAAGGCGCGAUGGGUCGUACGUGGCUACUCUCAACAACCAGGCAUUGACUUCGACGAGACUUUUAGCCAUGUUGUGAAGCCCGCCACGAUCCGUAUUGUUCUCAGUCUUGCCGUCUCC